rnacentral:rRNA from 1 species
CUGGCUCAGAUUGAACGCUGGCGGCAGGCCUAACACAUGCAAGUCGAGCGGAUGACGGGAGCUUGCUCCUUGAUUCAGCGGCGGACGGGUGAGUAAUGCCUAGGAAUCUGCCUGGUAGUGGGGGACAACGUUUCGAAAGGAACGCUAAUACCGCAUACGUCCUACGGGAGAAAGCAGGGGACCUUCGGGCCUUGCGCUAUCAGAUGAGCCUAGGUCGGAUUAGCUAGUAGGUGAGGUAAUGGCUCACCUAGGCGACGAUCCGUAACUGGUCUGAGAGGAUGAUCAGUCACACUGGAACUGAGACACGGUCCAGACUCCUACGGGAGGCAGCAGUGGGGAAUAUUGGACAAUGGGCGAAGGCCUGAUCCAGCCAUGCCGCGUGUGUGAAGAAGGUCUUCGGCUUUAAGGCACUUUAAGUUGGGAGGAAGGGCAGUAAGUUAAUACCUUGCUGUUUGACG